UACAGAGGGUGCGAGCGUUAAUCGGAAUGACUGGGCGUAAAGGGCGCGUAGGCGGCUUAUUAAGUUAGGUGUGAAAUCCCUGGGCUUAACCUAGGAACUGCAUUUAAUACUGAUGAGCUUGAGUAAGGUAGAGGGUAGUGGAAUUUCCGGUGUAGCGGUGAAAUGCGUAGAUAUCGGAAGGAACAUCGAUGGCGAAGGCAGCUACCUGGGCCUUAACUGACGCUGAGGCGCGAAGGCGUGGGGAGCAAACAGG
rnacentral:misc_RNA from 1 species